GACGUAGGGGGCCAGCGUUGCUCGGAAUUACUGGGUGUAAAGGGCGCGUAGGCGGCCUGGCAAGUGGAAGGUGAAAUCCCUCGGCUUAACCGAGGAACUGCCCUCCAAACUGCUUGGCUUGAGUCCGGGAGAGGUGAGUGGAAUUCCCAGUGUAGCGGUGAAAUGCGUAGAUAUCGGGAAGAACACCUAUGGCGAAGGCAGCUCUCUGGGACGGUACUGACGCUGAGACGCGAAAGCGUGGGGAGCAAACAGG
rnacentral:rRNA from 1 species